CAGGGGCCCAAAGGUUCUGCUGGGACCCAAAGAGCAGAAACAAGAAAUAUAUUGACAUUUUCUUUAGAAUGCCAGUAAAAGCUCAUCAGGUUUCAGUGUGUUUUCUUGAGGUCAGAAAUACAGUGUGGACCAAGAGACAAGACAUAGAAGCUGCUGAAUGACCACUGAUCAGCUGGAGACCUCAGAGAAGGCACCACGGAGGAGCUGGCACCUGAACCGAGUUUUGAAGGAUGAGCAAAGUGUAAAGAAAGGAACGUGUGAGCAAAGGCCCAGAGAUAGGGAAGUAGUGUGUUUGCCUGGGGACACAAUGACUAGUCAAGAAAGAAGGUCAAAGAAGAAAGAAGACUGAAGAAACAUUAACCUCGGGCAUCACAAGGAGGCAAUUAAGGAGGACUUUGGAACACGCCAGUUUUACAGUGGAGGGAAUGGGAGGGAAGGAA